UCGUUUUGGGCUCGUGGUUCGAAUCGCGGUCACGCGGCGCGUCGUCUCGCGGUCAAGUCUCUCGAGGACGAUCCGAGUGCGAUCUGAGUGAUUCUUUGCUGUCAUCAUCCUUAUCGACGUCUCUUCGUCGCCGUCCUCGUCUUCGCCGAUCGAGUGAUCCUGCGGAUCACUGUGCGCGACGCGGAUCAUCGCGGAUCCAGCGAGAUACUACUUCGCGGUCCAUUGUAGUGGGUAGACGAUCGGGAGCGACAUCUGCGGCUGUCCUGGCGGAUACCGGUGAUAUUUCGAUUGGAUGCAGUUAAUUGAUCGAGACGGAGAGCGGAACGAGAUCUCUUCCUCCUCCACCCUGUGUCUGUCUCUCCUGGAUAUUGGAUUGCGCGAAGGAGAGUGAAGCUUAACGGUGCAGCGGACUAAGUCGAGUUACGAGACAGUGAGUUACUCCAGCGGGACCGUUCGUUCGUCGUAUCUAGG